rnacentral:snRNA from 10 species
GUGCUCGCUUCAGCAGCACACAGGCCAAAACAGGAGUGACACGGAGAAGGUUAGCGUGGCCCUGCACAAGGAUGACACACAAAUUCAUGAAGCGUUCCAUAUUUUG